rnacentral:rRNA from 1 species
AAUCCAUAGGUUAAUGAGGCGAACCGGGGGAACUGAAACAUCUAAGUACCCCGAGGAAAAGAAAUCAACCGAGAUUCCCCCAGUAGCGGCGAGCGAACGGGGAGGAGCCCAGAGCCUGAAUCAGCAUGUGUGUUAGUGGAAGCGUCUGGAAAGGCGCGCGAUACAGGGUGACAGCCCCGUACACAAAAGCGCAUGUGCUGUGAGCUCGAUGAGUAGGGCGGGACACGUGGUAUCCUGUCUGAAUAUGGGGGGACCAUCCUCCAAGGCUAAAUACUCCUGACUGACCGAUAGUGAACCAGUACCGUGAGGGAAAGGCGAAAAGAACCCCGGCGAGGGGAGUGAAAAAGAACCUGAAACCGUGUACGUACAAGCAGUGGGAGCACAGGUUUACCUGUGUGACUGCGUACCUUUUGUAUAAUGGGUCAGCGACUUAUAUUCUGUAGCAAGGUUAACCGAAUAGGGGAGCCGGAGGGAAACCGAGUCUUAAUUGGGCGUUAAGUUGCAGGGUAUAGACCCGAAACCCGGUGAUCUAGCCAUGGGCAGGUUGAAGGUUGGGUAACACUAACUGGAGGACCGAACCGACUAAUGUUGAAAAAUUAGCGGAUGACCUGUGGCUGGGGGUGAAAGGCCAAUCAAACCGGGAGAUAGCUGGUUCUCCCCGAAAGCUAUUUAGGUAGCGCCUCGUGAAUUCAUCUCCGGGGGUAGAGCACUGUUUCGGCUAGGGGGCCAUCCCGGCUUACCAACCCGAUGCAAACUGCGAAUACCGGAGAAUGUUAUCACGGGAGACACACGGCGGGUGCUAACGUCCGUCGUGAAGAGGGAAACAACCCAGACCGCCAGCUAAGGUCCCAAAGUCAUGGUUAAGUGGGAAACGAUGUGGGAAGGCCCAGACAGCCAGGAUGUUGGCUUAGAAGCAGCCAUCAUUUAAAGAAAGCGUAAUAGCUCACUGGUCGAGUCGGCCUGCGCGGAAGAUGUAACGGGGCUAAACCAUGCACCGAAGCUGCGGCAGCGAACGUAUCACUUAAAGCGAUUCAGCGGGUUACGAUUGACGGAGCGAAGCGACGUCAAAGCGUAUACAAAGUCGAGUCGGUUUAAGGAUACGUUCGUUGGGUAGGGGAGCGUUCUGUAAGCCUGUGAAGGUGGCCUGUGAGGGUUGCUGGAGGUAUCAGAAGUGCGAAUGCUGACAUAA